GCCAAUUUCUCCUAUUUAAUGACAUUUGAAGAUUCUGAAAAAAAUCAGAGACAUUUUUAUUUGUGAGGCACAUAAUACAGAUCUGGAUUCAGAUCCGCGACUCCUUCCAUACAAAAUCGCCAUUUUUCAGCAUUUUUUGACGUUUUUGAUUUUUCACGGCUUCAGUUUUCAAUCUAAAAAUCUGAAAAAAUUCUGUAUUAUGUGCCUCACAAAUAGAAAUGCCUCUGAUUUUUUUCAGCAUCUUCGAAUGUCAUUAAAUAGGAGAAAUUGGCCAAAUUGGCGUGCCGAACUUUAACACAGGGGAUGGCAGUCUUUAAUAGUAUCUCGUCGGUGUCUGUAGUCACUGGACCAGCUUAGAAAUAAGUUGCGACUGUGAAUACCGGCCUAUAAGUUUGUUUUAUAAUAAAUUGUUUGGAUUUGCGUCUCAAGCACCCCAGCGGCAAACGCGCGGCUCGCGAGAGAGUCUAGCUGUGUUGUACACGUGGGUGCUGAUUAUACGUAGAGAAGGGUUGAGAACACAAAUGAACGAAACAAAUACGAUUAUGUAGAUAAACACAAAACUUUAUUAUAAUAAAAAUGAAUAAAGUAAAAAUAAACGAUGAUGUGUAAAAAGAGUGCACGUAGAGCUCGGCGUAGCGAAAGCAAGGACAUCGACUAGUCGCGAGGUAGCGUAGACAAAGAAGUGAGAAAAAAUCGGAGAAAGCGAAGAAAGCUCGCGUUCGUAGGGGGUGUGAAACCGGUGCGUACGUAGCACGCUAGAAGGUUGCACGUGGUACGAGGACUUGCUUCCGCUCGUGGUGCUGCCGCCUGUCGGACAGCAAAGCAGACUCCAUGGACUGUGACGGUUGAUCAAGAGACGAGGGUGCCACAAAAUAAUUGUUGUGCGCAUGCGCAAAAUAUACUCAGGACUCCUGCCAACAGAGAGCGUAUCGGCGCGUUACGCAUAGCGGAAAUCGUUUGAAUUUUCUGUUUCAUAUUCUAUGGGCAAAAGUUCUUUUAAUUUUUUGGAGCAACUGUCAUUGUAAUGGUCUUUUAUAAUAAAAUAAGAUACUGUUGAUGACCACGGUUUCUACAAUGAGGAUGGUUGUGUUAGUCAUGUCGGUAUCGGUAGAAUUCUAUGUAUUCUGCGAAAGUUUUUAAUUAAUAUUUCCAAAACUACUGAGCUGAUGUGGAUACCGUUUUAAAUUUGGAGUCUUCCCCCUCUCCUGGGGCAAUUCAAAUAAUAAUGUUUUUUCGUUAAUUAUUAAAUUUGAAAUAUUUAUUUUUCAUUUUUAACUAUUUCUUAAUAAAUGUUUAUUUUUGUA